rnacentral:lncRNA from 1 species
GGCAGCACUGCUCCGUGCACCGUCCCACCCACCAAUGCACAAAGGAAAAAUAAUGCUUUUGCAGCAUGUAAGUGUUCAAGUCUGUAGUUUGUGCUCAGGCAGUGCAAUGCGGCUGUGAGUCAGAUUUUAUCUGAGCCAGGUGACUAUUAGCAGCAGUAAGUGCUAUUUAACGUGAAUACAAGCUAUUUGAGAUCCAUAGCUUCAGUAUUUUCUUUUUCUCCCUUUCAGUGCCAAAUGGCCACCAGAGGAUUUAAUUUGUCAAUAAGCUGCACGAAUGCCCAGGCCACCUCCAUCUGCUGCUGUGACAGAACACAAUUAACAGGAAAAUCCCAGUUUACAGAUGGACAAAUGAAACAGGGAGGUGUCCAAUGUUUUGCCCAGCACUGCAAGCUGCGCCAGUGGCAGAAUGAUUGUAUCCCUGCUUGAUCCCUGCCAGUUCAAUCUUUGGAGACUUAAAGUGCUCACUCAAAUGCACUGAACAAGAGGAAUGCUUCAGCUCCAAUCAGCUCCUGUCUUCUUUGGAAAUGCUGGCCCUGAGGCACUAUGCAAUAACCUGUGAUCAGGAUCCCAGUUAUGUGCUGGAUAGGCAGCUGAAGAAGCUCCUAGACCUGUCUUUCUAAGAUUUGGACAGAGCCUAUAGAUAAGCAUGAAAGUCGAUCUGUUGGUGAAAGCUCUGGAGAGGUGCAGAGACAGGGAGGAAACGAGGCACCAUCCCACUGAAAUCAGCAGGACUCUGUGGUGCUCUGAGAAAGGCAUACAUAUGCCUGGAUCAAGUUGAUAUUUACAGAAGGCUCCUUUUGAAUUGGCUUUUGAUUAUACACCUAUGUCAGAGGGUGGACAGUGAGACUCAGUGUGACUUGUUUCCAUGAGAGAAAGAUGGUGAAAGAUUGUGAAG